GAUGGGCUGGAAUUGUUGUUGUUGGGCCUCUGAGAGCACGCUCAUGUGAUCAUCUGUUUCCGUUACCGCCUUACCGGGAAAACGAAUCCCCCAAUCUCCGACGAUCGCUCCACCUCCUAAAUCUGUCGCCAUCUCCGUCUCCGGAGAGAACCUCCAACAUCAUGACUCCUGAAGCCGCUAACUCCUUCGAAUCGCCUCCGUUUCUCUCUGUUUCUACGGUGAGAUCAUCACAGGCAAACAAAUUAAGAAUGUCUCUCUGACGUUUAUAUGAGACGACGUGAUGCUUGUGUGUGUAUGAUCUCUCUCGUCUUAUUCAUAGCUUUUUAAGAGAACAGAGAGCCGUUGUAUAUAUGAUGAGUUUUUCUUGGGCCAGACCAACGAAUGAUUCUUUUUAAACGAAGGGAGAAGAAAGAACCAGGGCAUCAUCAUCUCGAAGAAGAGAAUUGAAAUCAGAGAAAUUGCGUCUUUAGACUCGAGGAGAUAACAGGAAACGAGAACAGGGCUAAGAAGAACAGAACCAAAGUAUAGCAGUCUUAAAGAUUUUUUCAUGGUUUGAACAAAUAAAAUCACAUUGAUAAAGAUGCUUCCACAAUACCUCAACAACAGAAUGAACAGAAGCAAACACCAAAAAGUCUUCAUAAACAUUAUCUAUAAAGAACAUGAGAUAUGUGUCCCAAAAAACAAAACAAAAGAGAAAACCAAAGAAAGAAAGUGACGAGAUUUAACAAAUUAUGUUAAUAUGUAGUCAGGGACGACUUUUUAGCGUUGUUGAUCUUACUAUUUUCACAGACAAAAGAAGACCAGAGCCCAUCCUUCUUGUAGUUAUCAAACAAAGAAUCCAUGAGCCCUACACGUUGCCUUGGUGUGCUCAGUGAUCUCAUCUUUUGCCCUUGCAGACUCUGUCACACUCAUGUAAGGCUGCAAACCAUCGGAGCUUUGAAACCAGCUCUCGUCCUCCACUAAUAGACUCUGCUCCAAACGGCUGAAAAAUCUCCUUAGGAAAGAAAAUGGAGAGUC